CGCUGGCGGCAUGCCUAACACAUGCAAGUCGAACGGAGAAAAGAAAGCUUGCUUUCUUUUCUUAGUGGCGGACGGGUGAGUAACGCGUGAGUAACCUGCCUUUCAGAGGGGGAUAACGUUCUGAAAAAGAUCGCUAAUACCGCAUGAGACUACAGAGCUGCAUGGCUCAGUGGUCAAAGGAGCAAUCCGCUGAAAGAUGGACUCGCGUCCGAUUAGAUAGUUGGCGGGGUAACGGCCCACCAAGUCGACGAUCGGUAGCCGGACUGAGAGGUUGAACGGCCACAUUGGGACUGAGACACGGCCCAGACUCCUACGGGAGGCAGCAGUGAGGGAUAUUCGGCAAUGGGGGAAACCCUGACCGAGCAAUGCCGCGUGAGGGAUGACGGUUUUCGGAUUGUAAACCUCUGUCCUCUGUGAAGAUAAUGACGGUAGCAGAGGAGGAAGCUCCGGCUAACUACGUG
rnacentral:rRNA from 1 species